AUCUGCUGACAGGGGAGCACCACUGGGGUGCUGAGAGUGCGCCACGUGGCGCAGACCCUCGAACCUGAUCCGGCUAACACCGGCGUAGGGAGUCGGGAUUUCCGUGCG
rnacentral:ncRNA from 2 species